rnacentral:tRNA from 1 species
GCCGACAUAGCUCAGUGGCAGAGCGACGCACUCGUAAUGCGUAGGUCGUGGGUUCAAGUCCCACUGUCGGCUCCA